rnacentral:tRNA from 1 species
GCUCAGGUAGCUCAGUUGGUAGAGCACUUGUUUGAAGAACAAGGGGUCGCCGGUUCGAGCCCGGCCCUGAGCACAA